UGCCAGCAGCCGCGGUAAUACGGAGGGUGCAAGCGUUGUUCGGAAUUAUUGGGCGUAAAGCGCGUGUAGGCGGUUGGUCAAGUCCGGCGUGAAAACCCCAGGCUUAACCUGGGACGUGCAGUCGAUACUGCUUAUCUUGAAUGCUUGAGAGGAUGGCGGAAUUCCCGGUGUAGCAGUGAAAUGCGUAGAUAUCGGGAGGAACACCUGAGGCGAAGGCGGCCAUCUGGCGAUGCAUUGACGCUGAGGUGCGAAAGCGUGGGGAGCAAACCGGAUUAGAUA
rnacentral:rRNA from 1 species